UGGGGAAUAUUGCACAAUGGGCGCAAGCCUGAUGCAGCGACGCCGCGUGAAGGAAGAAGAUUUUCGGAUUGUAAACUUCUAUCAGCAGGGAAGAUAAUGACAGUACCUGACUAAGAAGCCCCGGCUAACUACGUGCCAGCAGCCGCGGUAAUACGUAGGGGGCAAGCGUUAUCCGGAUUUACUGGGUGUAAAGGGUGUGUAGGCGGCUUGAUAAGUCAGAUGUGAAAGCCCGUGGCUCAACCACGGGACUGCAUUUGAAACUGUCAAGCUAGAGUACAGGAGAGGCAAGUGGAAUUCCUAGUGUAGCGGUAAAAUGCGUAGAUAUUAGGAGGAACACCGGUGGCGAAGGCGACUUGCUGGACUGUAACUGACGCUGAGGCACGAAAGCGUGGGGAGCAAACA
rnacentral:rRNA from 1 species